rnacentral:rRNA from 1 species
GAUGAACGCUAGCUACAGGCUUAACACAUGCAAGUCGAGGGGAAACGGCAUUGAGUGCUUGCACUCUUUGGACGUCGACCGGCGCACGGGUGAGUAACGCGUAUCCAACCUUCCCAUUACUGUGGGAUAACCUGCCGAAAGGCAGACUAAUACCGCAUAGUCUUCGAUGACGGCAUCAGAUUUGAAGUAAAGAUUUAUCGGUAAUGGAUGGGGAUGCGUCUGAUUAGCUUGUUGGCGGGGUAACGGCCCACCAAGGCUACGAUCAGUAGGGGUUCUGAGAGUAAGGUCCCCCACAGUGGAACUGGGACACGGGCCAAACUCCUACGGGAGGCAGCAGUGAGGAAGAUUGGUCAAUGGACGGAAGUCUGAACCAGCCAAGUAGCGUGCAGGAUGACGGCCCUAUGGGUUGUAAACUGCUUUUGGAUGGGGAUAAAGUUAGGGACGUGUCCCUAUUUGCAGGUACCAGACGAAUAAGGACCGGCUAAUUCCGUG